GAGUUUGAUCCUGGCUCAGAAUAAACGCUGGCGGCGUGCUUAACACAUGCAAGUCGAGCGCGAAAGGUCUUCGGACUGAGUAAAGCGGCGAACGGGUGAGUAACGCGUAGGAAUCUGCCUUUCAGUGAGGGAAAUACCCUCGAGAAAUCGAGGUUAAUACUGCAUACGUCUUGUAAAAGAAGAAAGAUGGCCGUCUUUAGUCUGUCGGCUGAAAGAAUGAGCCUGCGUACUAUUAGCUAGUUGGUAGGGUAAAGGACCUACCAAGGCGAUGAUGGUUAGCCGGCCU
rnacentral:rRNA from 1 species